GUUAGGACUCAGCAGUUCUUACAUAUUCUACAAUUUGAACAAUUCGGAGAGUAUUGGCAUGGCCCUUGCACAAGGGUGACUCACAAAUUUGUGAAGCAUUCCAUAUUUUU